rnacentral:sRNA from 1 species
CUCAUACACAGCAGGCGCCAAGGCUCACUGAGAACACAGGGUGUGAAACGGUUCGUGGUGGAUACCAUCCUUAAUGGUUGUCGAGCGUCAACCCCUUGUCCCGGGAAGAAGGGUGUCAACGGUUUGCGUCUGCCCUGGUAAUAUGUCAGAGGUAUCCUGUCUCAGACUGAACCAUGUCUGGUGUCAAAGUCAACUGCUUCCGUCCUGCUCUGGGACCCAGGAAAUCCCACAGUACAACACUCCCCUCUGAAGUUUGACUGUUGAGGUCUGAGAUGGGGAUGGAGAAGGCAUGGGACAUUCAUGGAGAACCCAGGUGCCAUCGAUGCUGCUGCUGCUGCUGCUGCUGCUGCUGCUGCUGCGGUGAACGCCCACCUGGCUGCGGGACCCACCUGGGUGCUGGCUGGGCCAAAUCGUUCCUGAAGACGCAUCUCAGAAGCACAAAGCGGGGCCUUUCAAUCACUUGGCAAAGUUGGGGAGAAAAAAAGAUUUUAAAGAGCAAAAGCGCACAACGAAACCACAAUCACACAAGUCCACAAGAGUCUCCU